rfam:Stegodyphus mimosarum contig101072, whole genome shotgun sequence.
GCCUUCGUGGUUUAAUGGUCAGCCCACUCGGCACGUAUUCCAGAGGUCCGAGGUUCGAGUCCCGGCGAAGGCA